rnacentral:rRNA from 1 species
UUCCAGACUCCUACGGGAGGCAGCAGUGGGGGAUAUUGCACAAUGGGGGGAACCCUGAUGCAGCGACGCCGCGUGGGUGAAGAAGCGCCUCGGCGCGUAAAGCCCUGUCAGCAGGGAAGAAAAUGACGGUACCUGAAGAAGAAGCCCCGGCUAACUACGUGCCAGCAGCCGCGGUAAUACGUAUGGUGCAAGCGUUAUCCGGAUUUACUGGGUGUAAAGGGAGCGCAGGCGGCACGCUAAGCCUGAUGUGAAAGCCCGCGGCCCAACCGCGGGAGUGCAUUGGGAACUGGCGAGCUAGAGUACCGGAGGGGCAGGCGGAAUUCCUAGUGUAGCGGUGAAAUGCGUAGAUAUUAGGAGGAACACCAGUGGCGAAGGCGGCCUGCUGGACGACAACUGACGGCGAGGCGCGAAAGCGUGGGGAGCAAACAGGAUUAGAUACCCUCGUAUC